rnacentral:lncRNA from 1 species
UUGUAGGAAUUUUCCCCUUACUUCAGAGAUUUAUUGCACCUCAUUUCUCCUUCAACAUUUCUGAGAAUGUCUGGCCCAUCCGACCGUCGUUUUGACUUGAACUUUAGUGAAGUGGCAGCCAUGCCUUCUCAAGACAACAUAUGGCGCCCAUCCUUCUUAUCCCCUACUGGUCCUCUUACCGUUGAGGACUCUGUGAUGAAGAAUGAUAUGACCGCUGUAGUGGUGGCCAGGAACCUUCUCACUCCCAAAUAUAACAGACUACUUUCCAAACGGUCUGAUGAGUUGGCUAUUAAGGAUUCUCUGGCUCUUAGUGUUCAGUGUGCAGGUUCUGUGUCUAAUAUGGCCCAACGCCUAUUUGCUCGAACCCGUCAAGUUGAAUCAUUGGCGGUUGAAGUGAUAAGUCUCAAACAGGAGAUCAAAAGGCUCAAGCAUGAGCAUAAACAGUUGCACAGGCUCGCAUAUGACUAUGCUACAAACAUGAAGAGGAAGCUCGACCAGCUGUAGAAAUCUGAUGGUCAGAUUUUAUUUGAUCAUCAGAGGUUUGUGGGUUUGUUCCAAAGACAUUUAUUGCCUUCGUCUUCUGGGGUCGUACCGCGUAAUGAAGCUCUAAAUGAUCAACCUUCGGUGCCUCCUUCUUCUGGUGUUCUGCCUAGUACUAAGGCUCCGAAUAAUCACCCUCUGGUGCCUCAUCUUUCUAGGGCUCUGCCGACUGCUGAGACUUCUCCUGAACAACCUUUGUGAAGGAUCCCUUUUGUUUGUUUAUUUUGAUUCAUGUAUAUGUACAUAUUUGUAACUUAUCGGAGAUAUCAAUAAACAAGCUUUGCUUCAUUUCAACGUAUUGUGUUAAACACACCAAGGCUUUCUUCACUAAGUUCUUUGAAUAUUUCCUUUUGUUGAAGCUUGUAUGUUGAAGCUUUGUGAGUGAAGCAUGUAGGUUGAGGUAGUGCUCCCUUAACUUCCUGAGUGAGGAAAACUUCUCGGUUAGAGACUUGAAAAAAUCCAAGUCAUUGAAUGGUCGUGAGACUUCUGAGUAUCAAGGUGUAGUAGCAUAUUCUAGUAGCCAAGUUUCCAAAGUAAUAAAACGUCACCAUUUUCCUUUCUAAGUGGUAGCCGAAAACUUCUCCUUCAUAUAUAUUUGUUAUGAAAGUUGUUAGGCCCAAAGAAGAGGAGGCCUAGGCAAUUUUUUUUUUUUGAAUUUUCGAAUUUUCGAAUAUAUAGGUGAAGCUUUGAGGUUGAAGUUUUGUUGGGUACCAUGAAUUGAUUUUGCUUCACACUAUCUUGAUCAAGAUAGUGUGAAGCUUUUAUAGGUGAAGCUUUUGUGUUGAAGCUUUGUAGGUGAAGCUUUUGUUGGUAAAGCUUUUGGGGUGGGUGAAGCUUUUGUUGGUGAAGCUUUUGUGGUGAAGGAAACUUUUGUGGUAAGGGAAGCUUUUGUUGGUGAAGCUUUUAUGGGUGAAGGUUUUGUGGUGGGUGAAGCUUUUAUGGGUGAAGCUUUUGUGGUGGGUGAAGCUUUUGUUGGUGAAGCUUUUAUGGGUGAAGCUUUUGUAGAUGAAGCUUUUGUGGUGGGUGAAGCUUUUGUGGGUGAUGCUUUUGUGGUGGGAGAAGCUUUUGUGGGUGAAGCUUUUGUUGGUGAAGCUUUUAUGGGUGAGGCUUUUGUAGGUGAAGCUAUUGUGCGUGAUGCUUUUGUAGGUGAAAUUUUAGAGUUGAAGCUUUUGUGGGUGAAGCUUUUGUGGGUGAAGCUUUUGUUGGUGAAGCUUUUAUGGGUGAAGCUUUUGUAGGUGAAGCUAUUGUGGGUGAAGCUUUGUAGGUGAAGUUUUGGAGUUGAAGCUUUUGUGGGUGAAGCUUUUGUUGGUGAAGCUUUUAUGGGUGAAGCUUUUGUAGGUGAAGCUAUUGUAGGUGAAGCUUUGGAGUUGAAGCUUUGUAGGUGAAGCUUUAGAGUUGAAGUUUUGUAGGUGAAGCUUUGGAGUUGAAGCUUUUGUUGGGUACCAUGAAUUGGUUUUGCUUCACACUAUCUUAAUCAAGAUAGUGUGAAGCUUUUGAGAAUUUGUAGUUGUCAUCCAUUGAUGAAGCUUUGUUGAAUUUCCCUUUCUUUCUUUCUUUUUUUUUUUUUUUUUUUUUUUUUGGGAAACUAGAAAUUUGAAAAUGUGGGAGAGACAACAUAUACAAAUUUUGCUUCCACACUGUUGAGCAAGAGAUUGUGAUGCAAGCCACACCUUGUAGUAGUCGAAUGUUUGUAUGAACCAUAUAAAUUGAUUUUGCUUCGAAUAGUCUUGAAUUUGCUUCGAAGGUUUGAGAAUUGUAGUUGCCCUCCAUUGAUGAAGCUUUUGUUGGCACUAUAAAUUGGUUUUGCUUCACAUUGUCUUGAUCAAGAGUUGUGAAGCUUUUGAGAAUUGUGGUUGACCUUCAUUGAUAAAGCUCUUGUUGGCACCAUAAAUUGGUUUUGCUUCACACUUUCUUGAUCAAGAGUGUGUGAAGCUUUUGAGAAUUGUGGUUGAACUCCUUUGAUGAAGCUCUUGUUGGCACCAUAAAUUAGUUUUGCUUCACAUUGUUGAUCAAGAGUGUGUGAAGCUUUUGAGAAUUGUGGUUGCCCUCAAUUGAUGAAGCUCUUGUUAGCACCAUAAAUUGGUUUUGCUUCACACUAUCUUGAUCAAGAAUGUGUGAAGCUUUUGAGAAUUAUGGUUAAACUCCUCUGAUGAAGCUUUUGUUGGCACUAUAAAUUGGUUUUGCUUCACACUGUCUUGAUCAAGAGUGUGUGAAGCUUUUGAGAAUUGUGGUUGAACUCCUUUGAUGAAGCUCUUGUUGGCACCAUAAAUUGGUUUUGCUUCACACUGUCUUGAUCAAGAGUGUGUGAAGCUUUCUAUGAGUUGUAGUGUUUGCAUUGUUACAGAGGGGAAAUGUCUGAAGCAGAUGCAAGAGGGCUAAAUAGCUUGAUCUUCGCAUGCCAUGCACUGAAGUUGUUAUUGGCUUGCAAUAAGACUUUGUUGGUGACUAUAACUCUUGUUGGGCAUAAGUGCUCCCCUAGUUGAGUUGUUAAGCUUGAGGGUUUUUUAUUAUAUGUGAAUGCUAGGAGUUCACAUGUACAAGUUGUACCACUCAUCUUCUGGUAGGUGGAAUGAUUGGUGAGUUACUUUCAUCACUUGGUUGGUGGUACGAAGGUGAGUUCCUUCAUCACCUUUCAUCAAUUUCAUCACCUGGUAGGUGGCACGAGGAUGAGUUCCUUCUUCACCUGGUUGGUGGCAUGAAUGGCAAGUUGCCAAAUGAUAUUAGAGUACGGGUUGUACAUUUAAUCACCUAGUUGGUGGCAUGAAGGAGAGUACGGGUUAUACAUUUCAUCACCUGGUUAGUGGCAUGAAGAUAAGUUCCUUCUUCACCUGGUUGGUGGCAUGAGUGGUAAGUUGCCAAAUGAUAUUAGAGUAGGGGUAGUACAUUUCAUCACCUAGUUUGUGGCAUGAAGGAGAGUACGGGUUGUACAUUCCAUCACUUGGUUGGUGGCAUGAGUGGCAAGUUGCCACAUGAUAUUAGAGUAUGGGUUGUACAUUUCAUCACCUGGUUUGUGGCAUGAAGGAGAGUACAAGUUGUACAUUUCAUCACUUGUUGGUGGCAUGAAGAUGAGUUCCUUCUUCACCUGGUUGGUGGCAUGAGUGGCAAGUUGCAAAUGAUAUUAGAGUACGGGUUGUACAUUUCAUCAACUGGUUUGUGGCAUGAAGAUGAGUUCCUUCUUCACCUGGUUGGUGGCAUGAGUGGCAAGUUGCCAAAUGAUAUUAAAGUAUAGGUUGUACAUUUCAUCACCUGGUUGGUGGUAUGAAAGAAAGUACGGGUUGUACAUUUCAUCACCUGGUUGGUGGCAUGAAGGAGUGGUGGCAUGAAGAUGAGUUCCUUCUUCACAUUUCAUCACCUAGUUGAUAUCCACAGGGAUAACAAGCUCGCGUGUUUGAGUAAGGGUAAGAUGUCGAGGCACAUUGUAGCAAGUGUCGAAUGAUACAAAGUAUGUCGAACCUUUUCGAAGCACAGUUGGCUUAUGUAUGAAUGUGUUGGAAUGUAUGAUUGAACGAAUAUACUGUGAAGCUGUUCGUUUAUUUGUAUAGUCUUGUUGACAUAGACUAUGCUUCAUGUUGAAAGCAUUCAUGUUGAAGCUUUGAACCCGAGUGGUUUAUUGCUAGGAAUGUAAGAGGAUUAUGACCGAGUUGUCUAAAUCACCUCUUUAUUGAAUUCAUGCCAAAUAGUCUUCGUUACAUAGGAUACCGAACGACUGAAGUUUAACACUUGUACAAUGUGAGUUUACUUGUAAUAGUACUUUCAAGUGAUCAGCUUUCCAUGGAUGGCCAAAGGUCUUGCCAUCGGAGCUUAUAAGCUUGUAGGAGCCAGGGCGACUGAUGCCAACAACUUCAAACGGUUCAUCCCAGUUUAGACUAAGUGUUCCUUCACUCGGGACUCUGUCGCAGAGUAAUCUUUUCUUCAAUACCCAGUCCCCCACUUUGAAAAAAUGAGGUUUGGCCUUUGAGUCAUAGUAGUUGGAGAUGCUCUGGAUGUCUUUUGAAGUUACUGGUUCCUUCAUGUCGAGGAUUGCUUUGAUCUUCUCGGGAUUAGCCUCAAUGCCUCAUUGGCUUAUCAUGAAGCCUAAGAAUUUGCCAGAGCCUACGCCGAAGGCACAUUUGUUGGGGUUCAACCUUAUUCGAUACCUCUUCAGAAUGGUGAAAGUUUCAGAAAGGUUGGUGAUGUGUUGGUCAUCAUGUUUACUCUUGACUAGCAUAUUGAUAGGAUUUUUACUACUCAUGUGAAUGCGAUAAAAACCUCCUAUUUUACUUGCAAGAAUCACAAGGUUAUUGUAAUAUAAACGGAUUUCGCAAGGUCAUUCUCCACAGGGAUUAUUAAAUAAUUCAAAACAAACCAGAUUUCAAUUAAUGAUUGUAAUGUAGAAAUUUAGAUGAUUGAUUUUAUAAUCUACUUAAAGUAAAAACGAAUUUAAUGAAUUCAAAUAGAUAAUCUGCAAUAUUAAAGCUAGAGAGAAGAAAACAGUUAUGAAAAAAAAUCAAAUUGAGAAGGCACUAGGGUUCCACCAUCACCUAGCAAUCCUAUGAAUUUUUACCCAUUACUUAUGAUCUACACAUACCCCUUUGAAGGUUAGAUUUUCCUAAUUCAUAUUCUACUUGGAACCUCCAACAUAGAACGUAUAUCUAACAUGCAACCCGUCCGGACGUUCGGAUCAAAUAUGAACAUGAAAGACUCAUUAUGCUUUAUGAAAAUCCUUUGAAAAACCAUGCAAUCCUUAAGACGUGAUAUUCAUCCUAAGCGAAAUUACAAUUAUUAAUCACAAGAAGCCAACGUCAAUUUCAGGGAACCUUCCGACCAAAAUUGCAUCAAAUUACUUUUCUAAAGAUCCUAAUGGUGAUUAGGCAUUAAAACAAUUAGAUAGUUUUUAUCACGGUGAUUAACAAUUCAAAGUACACAUGCAAUCGAUCAUAAGAAAUUAAAUAAAAAUCACAUAUUCAUGCUAAGGCUCAAGGCUUCGCCCUAGCAAAAGAAAUUAGUUCCGCAUAUUCAUAAUUGUAAUCAUAUAAAUAUUUCUUAAGAAAAGGAUUGAAAACACCUUCAAGUAGAAAAUCUUCAAAACCCUAGCACUUCUCUCUGUCUCCAAUAUUGCAUAAAAGAAAGCGUCCCCUAAAACUGUAGACGGCCAAGCAAUAUAUUUGCUAAGCCACCACACAAACCCUAGCAAACAAAACCCUAAAUUAAAUAAUAAAAUUCGUCUAAAAACUGAACAGCCACGUUUUGGCCCAUAAGCUGCUCCAAAACUAGCCCAAUAUAGCUGGAUUUAAUGUUUGGAAUAUUCUGAACACUUUUCCAGAAGGCCACGAACCCAUCCGAGGUCAUCUUGGGCUCCAAAAACGCAAUUUAAGCCCAAAAACGUCACUUUCCAACACUGCGCACUGCUUCUUUAUUUCAUCGUCAGAAAAUCACCGCUUGGUGGAAAAAUCCCAAAUUUUGAUACGAUCAAGCUAAGUGACUAACGAACGUCCUCCAACUGGAAUUACUCCAAAAUUCGUCCAUUUGGUCCUGUUUUGCUCCAGAGGAAGUCGAAAGUCCUAUAUUGAAAAUACAAUUCAAAGUAUCAAAAUUCUUCCAAUAUAUUAACCAAAAUAUACUAAGAUUAGGGUAAAAUAUAUAAUAUAAAAUCUACUCAUCACAUAUCAUCAACGUAAACUUCCAUGCUCUUCUCAAUCUGUUCAGCGAACAUUGAAUUGACCAAUCUCUAAUAAGUCGCUCCUGCAUUCUUUAGGUCGAAGGGCAUGACUUUAUAGCAAUAUAAUCCCCUGUCAGUAGUGAAGGUUGUGUAUUCUUGCUCCGGAGGGUUCAUGAGGAUUUGGUUGUAUCCUGAGUAAGCAUUCAUGAAGCUCAGGAGUUCACACCCUGCUGUAGAGUCUAUAAGUCUAUCUUUGAGAGGAAGAGGAAAGCUAUCAUUCGGGCAUCCUUUGUUUAGGUCGGUGUAGUCGACACACAUUCUCCACAAGACCUUUUGAAGCAAGAGACUUUCUUUGGUCGGAUUUUCUUAACAAAGACCACAUUUGCCACUCAUGUUGGGUAAUUGACUUCGCGGACGAAGCCUAUGCCUUUGAGUUUUUUAACUUCUGCCUUCAUUGCUUCGCAUCAUUCAGUGUCAUAAGUUCUUCAUUUCUAUCUCACUGGCUUGGUCUUGGGGCCAAUACUCAAGCGAUGAUAUAUGAUAUCGGGAGAGAUACCUGGCAUGUCUUCGUAUGACCAGGCGAAGACCUCAGUGUUCUCUUGCAAAAAAGAGAUCAAUGCCAACCGAAUGGGUGGUGACAAGGUGGUGCCAAUCUUCACCAUACGAUCUGGAUAAUCUUUUGAUAUAGAAACCUUCUCCAGCUCUUCAACGGGUUGUGCUUGCUGGGUGAAAGAGUCAUCUCGAGGAUCGUCGGCCUUACUGUUGCCACCGUGAAGAUCCAAGUUGGCUUCGUCCGGGCUGGUCUUAUGACUUGGUCAUGUAUAGAAAAGGUUUCCUUGGGUACAGGCAGGUGUUGUUGCUUGAUCGAAGUGUUGUAACAUGAUUGUGCACUAAGUUGAUCUCCUAUGAUGUAACCAUUGCCAUAGGGGGUUGGAAAUUUUUUCAACAACAUAUGUGUGGAUACCAUGGCCUUGAGAUCAUUGAUGCCUGUGCGUCCGAAGAUGACAUUGUAUGUCGUUGGGCAAUCAACCACCAAGAAAUUAGUGGUAAUAGUAGCUGUGUAAGGGUAUGUACCAAUGGUGAAAGGUAAGUGUAUGCUCCCCAAAGGUUGCACGAUAUCAUCGGAGAAGCUUAUUAGAGGGAAAAUCGAGUGAUCAAGCAAGUGUUCAGCUACAUUAAGUGACCUUAAAGCUUCAGCAAAUAUGAUAUUGACCGAAGCCCUUGUGUCUACCAGGAUUCGUCGUACUUCAAAGUUGGCUAUGUGAGCUUCCACGAUCAGUGGGUCGUUGUGAGGGUAGAUGAUACCUCUUUCUUCCUCAGGGUAGAAACAUAUUGGAUCCCAGUUAGGCUUUUGAUACUUACCUCCCCUGAUGUCUUCCACGUGAAACACGUGGUGGCCAGACCUUAAAGCUCAUUCACUAUUUUUCAUAGCCUUGUUGGAAGAUUUAGAUAUGGGUGUGCCACCACUUAUGGAAUUGAUCAAUUGGAGGGUGAAGGAGGAAUUGAUCAAUUUUUCCUUCACGUGGCAAAGCUUCAAUAUGAUCACGAAGGGUGAUAUUUCUCGCCGUCAUGGCUGUUAUGCUCAUGGUAGCAGCAAAACAUGCCCGUGUUGUUCAUGGGCUUGUAAUCCGGGUGCCUUAGCUUUGGCUUCGGUACUAGGUGUGCUAUGCUGGGGUAAAUGGCCACGCAUAUGGCGAUCAAAGGUGUGUAUGUUGGAAAUGUGCCCUAAAACCAAUCAUAUGAUGAUACUUUACGGACAUUUCACAUGUUAAACUAAUCUAGUUUAAUAUCAAGGGUAAAGAUUAUUGUUUGAGCCAUCUCAUAUAAAUGUUAUACGCUUAAACGAUAAGUCCAAGGAAUAUGUGAUUGGGAGAAUGCUAUCUAAAGAAGUUAGAUUCAUGAGACCAUUCUUUUGUAGACACAUCCUAAACAUUCCUGAUCAUAGGAUUGCCAAUUGGGCAUUGACAGUCCGUUAAGAUCAGUACGUGCUGUGUCUUCUCUCAGGGAGAGUGACUAGUCUCGAGUCAUUGGUGUGUGUGACAUCAAGACAAGCAUGUAGAUGCUCAAUAAUGAAUGAGUCCAUUGAACACGAUCAACAAGGAGUUCUCAUACUCAUGUCACAUGAGAACUCAUGGUUGGGAUAUGCAAAGUAGUCUUUUGACCUGAGGCAUCAUAGUUGUCUUGUGGUUAAGUCCUUGAUCUUUGAUUAUGUCAAAGUCACUCCAUCAGGAGGGUGUCCAUGGCAUAGUCGGGGUUAAGCCACUUAGCCAUGAAGGCAAGUGAAUGCGCAACAAGGGAUCUCUAACCUUCAAACCGUUUGGGGGUGAAUACUCUAUGAUAUGAUUAAGAAUCUCUGGCCAGAGUAUGAAUGAGAUUUAUGAAGUCGUUCCAAAUCACAUUCAAGGUAAUCAUAUAAGCACACGAAUCACAUUGGAUAGUAGACAUGAAUAAACUAUCAAACCAAACAAUGUGGUCAAGAGUAUUGUAUUAGAGAAAUACCGUAUUGCAUUUGUAAUCCUAAACUGAAUAGGUUCUCCACCUCUUCUGAUUAGCUUGGGUAACCAUGAUAUACUGCUAGGUGUCACUCAUGGUUUGUGGAAGCCCUAAACGUGUAUAAUCACUAAAGGGAGAAUUGAAAGUAAGUUUCAAUUCACAAUCGAUUUGAAAUGGUUUUAAUCGCCCACUGCCUCGCUAAAAGGAACCUAAUGGAUCGUACACCGUGUAAGGUGGAGAUUGAAGAAACAAUAGAGAUGAGUAACAAUAAUUAAAUGGUUUAAUUAUUUAUGGCAAGGAUUAAUUAAUAUGUUAAUUAAUCAAACGAAUAAGUUCGUUAAAGACCUCGAGAUAGUUUUGGGCCUCAAGGCCCAAUGGGCUUCGAACGUCAAGCCCAUUGACUUAAGUUGUAUGACAACUUAAUGACAAAUAAUUCACAAAGGCCUUAAAAGCCCAAUGAAACCCUAUGGCCGGCCAUUUUGUUAAAGGAGUGGGUUUUGGACUUAAUUACAAGUUUGCCACUCCAAUGAAUAAAGGUAUAAAUAUGACUUUAUAGCCAAAAUUCAUUUAGGGUUUUCUUUUGGGGAAAAGAUGAGAACAUAAGCUCUCCUUUCUCUCUAAAGUGGUCGGCCUCCUUGGAGGGUUUAGCUAGCAAUCCUACUAUUCUAAGGUCACUCAUUUCUUCUCCAAUCUAACCUUGGUGAAGAAACUUAGAGGUUCUCAAUUUUGGGAACUUGGAGAACCAUUUCAUCCAUCCAAAUCCAUAGAUCUAAGAUGCAAGGAAUGAAGGCCCUCUCUUUGGGUGAUUAGCCUUUGCUUAUGCAAAGAGGAAUCUACAAAGGUAUAAUUUCUCAACUAACAAAUGUUGUUUUAAGUUGAGUCAAGGUUCACCAAUCUACUAGGCUUUGAAUUUAAUGGGUAAUGUUUUGUUUUGAGUGCAUGCAAGCAUGAUUCCGCCUUUAAUUUGUUACUUGCAUGCUAUAGAUGUUGCUCAAAUGAACAUGUUUUUCACAAUAUUUCCUUCAGUGUAUGCCUCAUACCUCGAGGUAGGGGCUGUCCUAACAUGUGUUUGACCUACUGUGCUAACUGCCUGUGGUCGGGGAUUAUUAUGGCGAUACCCUUGGUUAUUGCGGUAGUGGCAUUUACUUCUUUUACUAAAAUGAGAUUGGUGAGGAUGGAAAUCUUUCCUUUUGCUCUGAGAUUGAUAUGUCUGUUGACUUGGCAAAGUAUUAAGUAGGGCAGGGGGAGGCACCGCUGCUGUUUGGAAGGUCGAGGUCUUCUUAUUUGGUUGGAUCUGGCUUUCACUCCCUACUUGCUGAUAAGGGGUGGCUGUGGGGGGUUUCCCUUGAUAUGUCAUUGCCUCAACGGAGCCAUGGUUGUAAGCAUGUGCCAUCACCUCAUAGUAAGUCUUCCAAGUGUUGGCAUUGAUCAUAUACUUGAAGAAACAAUCACGUAGGCCUACCGUGAAGGCCUUGAGGGUGGUCUUGUCAUCUGCCUCAGCGCAGCGAGAAUACUCAUGGCUGAAACGACCAGUAUACUCUUAUAGUGACUCGUCCGGCUUCUGGCGAAUAGUGUACAAGUCAUCUGCAGAAUGCAAGCGAUCGGUCUAGAAGAUGUGUUAAAAGACAAAUAGUUUCCUUAAUUCCUCAAAUGAGUCUACCGUCUCAGGUGGAAGACGGCAAUACCAGUUUAGAGCUCCACCAUAGAGGAUAGAGGGGAAGAGAAGACAUCUUUCUUCGUCGUUAUGCAUCCAGUAUGCCAUGGUGGACUAAAAAAGGUUAAGGUGUUCAAUCAGAUCCUCAUUUCCAGUAUAGAGUUGCAAGCCAAGCUUCUGCUUUGUCUUUGCUUGGAGGGGGUGUCGAUGAUCCUCCUUGUAAGGGGGCCAGGCCUAGGUUGGUUCCAAUCAGGUAUCUCAGCUUGUCGUUCGACCUUCAACUUGUUUACUUCCUUAAUAAGCUGUAGAAUAAGAGGGUCCUGAGUGGAGUCAUGUACCACUAGAGCUUUCUUUUGUAAAUCUCCAUCUUCUCUUGGAAGUAUGAAGGUUUGAUCAAGAGCAUGUGACUUGUUACCGCUUCCCCAAAUUGGUAGCCGGCCUGGGACAUGGGAGGGGACCGAGUCUUUUAGAGACCUUUGGGUCAUUGAUCUUCGAGGUUACAUAGAUGGGAUUGUCUCGACGUUGCUUUAGGAAAUCUCGAUAGUCGCGAAAGACGGCUUUCGAUCCUUCCACUCCUUCUGUAAGGAGGUGUUUUCCUCCAUUUCUCCUGCUUCAGGUCGAAGUAGCUGGGUUAAGAGAAGUCUCAUGUUGAUCAAUGUUUUGAUGAUUAGCUCACUCCUCAUCAGGGAUACCUAUGUUGAAGGAAGGUGACCCUCCGUGUUGGGGGGCACCCAGAUGAUGGUUGAUGUCCACAUGGGUAGUACGCCUAGUUUCGUGGAGCGUCUCAAAGAGCUUCUCAUACUGCUCCUGGAGGACCUCAUUCUUCAUUGCUAUCAUGUUGUUCUGAGGUUCUAGCUCAUCAACUUUAGCUUGAAGAGUAACCCUCUUUCCUUCCUUCUUUCGUUGCUUCGCACCAAGUGCAAGAGGGGUGUCAUUCUGUGUGUUGUAGCUUCCUUCGCUCCCCAUGUUGGAAAAGGAUGCCUGGUCAAAAGAGAGUGUACGAAUGGUGGAAAUCAGCUUAACAAAGCUGAAGAGAGUGGGAAUAAGUGUCGUUCCCAUAGACGGCACCAAAUGUUGAUGCACAAAAUCAGUGAGGACUUUGGUACAACAGAAAGUGUUAAGUUUGUGACCUUUGCUAGAUUACUCCGGUCACUAAUGUGGAUAAGUAUGUAAAUGGAUAGAGACAGGGCAGCAAACACAAGAUGUACGUGAUUCACCCAGAUUGGCUACGUCCACGGAAUAGAGGAGUUCUCAUUAAUUGUGAAGGGUUUACACAAGUACAUAGGUUCAAGCUCUCAUUUUGUGAGUACUAGUGAAUGAUUUAGUACAAAUGACAUUCGAAAAUAUUGUGAGAGAAUGAUCUCUAUUUAUAGAAAAGAGUUUCUAGUUUCAUUCUGACAUUGACACGUGUCGUGUUGUGAUUGGCUUUUGAUGUUGACACGUGUCGCGCUAUGAUUGGCUUCUAAUGUCGACACGUGUCGGGCCGUGAUUGGCCUCCUGGUUGGAGGGAAACUCUUCUGGGUCCUUGACGGUAUAAUAUUGACCGGUGCUCAGUAGUUUUGGGAUUGGUCAAGUAUGGUAUAAACAUAAUAUAAUAAGAAUAAAAGCUAAAACCUCAUCAAUAAGAAAGAAGCCCACGUGUAAAACUAAAUUUCCUUUUUCUAGCCGAUGUUGCUGAUGGAAGUCUCAUUUUGUCAAUCCAUUCCCUCAAAAAGUUGAAUUUUUCCCAUUAGGCUUUGAAUUAACUGAAGUUUGUCUAGGUCACCCUCCCAUUAAAUAUUUGUUUGGUUGUGUCCAUGUAAUGCCCUAAAAAUUAAAAAUAUAUGAGUAUGUGGAGUAAAUCAAGAAUAUAUAGAUUUAAAUUUUAAAAUUUUGUUUCUGGGAUUUAUUAUAAUUUACGUCAAAAUUUUUAUCGAUAAGUGGAAAAGAUGAAAAUGCCCCUAGUUGACUAACUGUAAUUUUACGAGGACAUAUUUUAUCCUCAUAUAUUUUAUCGUAUUUCUUGAUAUAAUUGGAUAGAGCUCGACCCUACGAAAGCGUGGGCAAAAACCAUUUGUGAAUUGGAGUUGACACGAAGAAAUUGGAGGCUUUGAAAAAAAAAAGAAAAAAAAAAGAGUCUGAAAGCUGCCAGAUGGCAGCGUGAGAGAGGAGAAAAAGGAGAUAUGAGGGAGAGAAGAAGAGAGAAAGGGGACCAAUCGGGAGAGAGAGGAGAAAAAGGAUAGGAAAAGAGGGAGAAGGAACCGAAUCCUCUUCGACCCGCUGACCCGACCUGGCCGUAUCUUCUGAUUUUGGCCACCGUUGACGAUGGAACUGGUGCCAGAAUGAUCCUUACUUCAAACCCAGUCGUUCUCUCUCCCAUUUCCAUCGAAAAAUUGAUGAAAUUGGAUUGAUGAAAUUGGCUUCAAUUCGUCAAAACUCUAAGCUAACUCUGACCGUCACCACUAGCAAUAGUCUCCCCUCAAUUUCAGGAACAAAGCCUAAGCAAUGGUUGGGGCGUCAGAGUUUGUUUUGAGGUCAAAUAGAGAACACCUAUUUCUAUGGUUUUCAACAGUCCAAGGUUGAUUUCAGGUGUUUCCUGACCGAAUUGGACUUCAUCCCAGGUAUGAAAGUUGUUCCUAUCAUUGAACUCUAAUUGCCUAUUAAAUUUGGUAAUUUUUAGAGUUAGUCGGAAAAUUGGUUUCCAUUCGUCAAAAACCCCCACCAGUGGUGGCGCAUAGCCAGUGGGUCGACGCUACCUUUUCAUCAAUUUUUGAUAUUUUAAAUCCGUAAUUGGUACCCAUUUGAGGUGAUUCGAUUGUGAAAGCUAAUGUUGAAUAUUUCCAUUACUAGAAUAUGUUCAAAAAUAAACAAAAGAAUGAAUGGUGAACUACGAAAGGCUUUAUCCCGCAUCAAGGGUACAUAGGCAGUCUAACAGGGGUUAGAUGCAAAUGAUCCUACCUUACAAUAUGAGAUAUUAUUGGUGUUUGUGGAUGUGAAUUGUAAAUUAUAAAUUGCAUUAAUAUUGCAUUAUUUUGUAAGUUCUAUGAGUAUGAAGUUAUGUGGAAUGCAUAUGUUGUGAAUCAUCAUGAAUGGAAUUGAAUGGGAGUAGGAAAUUUUUAAAAUAUCGUAUUCAUGUUAUAGCUUUGAAGAUGAGCGUUUGAUUUAAAGUUUCGGAUUAAUCUUGAAUUGGGUUGAUAUUAUGUUAUGCAUUAUGAAAAUGUUGAAUGUUAAGAGGAUUGUUUAAUUGUGACAAGUAGUUAGGAAAGUCGUAUUAUACCUAUGCAAUUGAGAAAGGUUGAUUUGGGUGAAAAGGCCUAUGGAUGUUGAUUUGGGCGUGUUGACCCGUGGAAUGGGAGGAAUGUUUGUUUGGGCAAAAUGGCCCAUGGAUGUUUGUUUGGGCAAAAUGGCCCAUGGAUGUUGAUUUGGGCAAAAUGAGCCGUGAAAUGUGGAGAAAUAAUUGAAUUGGCACAAAGACCCAGUGUUUCCGGGAGAAAAGCUCCAUGGGUGGGCUGUGAGAAUGAGUUAUCAAUGUGAAGUGUAUCAACCAGGUAUAUUACAAUCUUUUCCAGUUGCUAGUCAUCUUUUGGGAUAAAAGAAAAAGGUGAUGAAAUUGUUGUUUUGCCAAUGAUAUUUAUGACUGAAAUUUUUAAUAUUUACGAAAAUCAAGAUGAAAUUUAUCGAACAGGAAAGAAAUCAUAAAUCGAAGUUAUGAAUUGUUCAUUAUAAUUGGAAUGGUGGGAAAACCAGGGAGAUUUCUUCAUUUAUUGAAUUAUUGGUGGACAUGAAUAAUAGAAUGAGAAUUUGAGUUCGUUUAAUAUAAACGGAAAUUGCGGAUUGGUUUUAAGUUCCUUAUUUUUAUAUAGUGAUUGUGAUUAGAAGUUCCAAUGAUUUUCGAUGGAAUUUCUAACAUUUGGGUUGCCAAUUUUGUUGGUUUGACUUGAAAUUGUAAUAUUUACAUAGCCAUUGAUGAUUAUGGUUUGAAAUUCUGAUAUUUAUUUGGCCGAUAAUGGCUACGAUGGAAUAUAUAAGAUAUGAAUCUACGUUGGAUGGGGUCGAACUCGUCGGGGAGCUUCAGACAGCGUGAAGGUAGAGAGGAACAUUUUGGUCGCCACCUCUUGGGACAGCCAGAUAUGUAUGUAAGUAGCCUUAUAUUUGGAUGCUAAGAAUGUUUUUCUAUAGGAUUAGAUCGGGAUUCAAUUUCAGUCAUCAGGCUACCAGGCAAUAUAAUAUAUGAUUGGGAUUCACAUAUAAUUAUUUACUACAAUAUGCUUAUUGCUUAUGUAAUAUGUAUGUAUGGAUGAUUCAUGGUAACUGAAAUAGAUACAUCAUUGGAUUGAAUUUAUAAUUUCUUUUCUUAUCUGUGCAACCAAGCGAAGUUUAUUUGUAGGAUUAAGUAGUGACUGCUGGUAUGCCCGUUUUUAUGUUGUAUUGCAUUGAAAAUUUUUGGACAUUUAUGCUUCUGCAAGAAAAAGAUAAGACAUUUUCCAAUUGUUAGGCAUUUGCGUUGCUUUUCUUUUGAACUCUAAACUCAUGUUAAUUGCAUUUCUAGUGGAGCUGUUAGAAAUGAGUAGGAAGACACUAUGCAGUUUUUAUCCCAUAUAAUAUGUAUAUGUCAAACUGAUCUGCUGCUCAGUUUUUAUCCCUUUUAAUAUAAUAUAAUCAUUCAUAUUAACGUAGAUUUAUGAAGACUUAUUGACAAGUUGUGUUUAGGUUUUAUAUUAUUGUCCACUUCACUGUCACUGAAUGUAUUGCUCAAGUUAUGGAUUAGUUACUCGCUAAAAGUAAAAACCUUUUGCUACUUGUGAAUUUGCAUUAGCUAGUGAUUUUAAACCAACCAACAAGUUUCAUGCUUGUCUAGAAAGAGAUUAUAUUAACUUGAAGGUUCUGCAAUGAAAGCUAACAAAAAUUCUUGUUUAAUUCCUUACAAAAAUUCAUUGUUAUUAUUGUGAUAUAUUAACAUAACGAUAUGCCAUUCAUAUGAUGUAGGUUUAUGAAGACUUGUUGACAGGUUGUGUUUAGAUUUUAUAUUAUUGUCUGCUUGACUACCACUUAAUGUACUGAUCGAGUUAUGGAUCAGUUGCUAGCUAAAAGUAAAAAUCUUUUGCUACUUAUGAAUUUGCAUUAGCUAGUGAUUUUAAACCAACCAACAAGUUUCAUGCUUGUCUAGACAGAGAUUAUAUUAGCUUCAGGGUCCUGUAAAAAAAGCUAACAAAAAUUCUUGGUUAAUUCCUCAAGGAGCUUUUCAUUUAUGUGAAUUCAUUUGAAAUUCUUACAAACUCAUACAAAAAUUCAUUGUUAUUAUUGUGAUAUAUUAACAUAACGGUAUGACCAUUCUUAGAUGUAGGCUUAUGAAGACUUGUUGACAGGUUGUGUUUAGGUUUUAUAUUAUUGUCCGCUUGACUACCAUCAAAUGUAUUACUCGAGUUAUGGAUCAGUUGUUAGCUAAAAGGAAAAGCCUUUAGCUAUUUGUGAAUUUGCAUUAGCUAAUGAUGUUAAACCAACCAACAAGUUUCAUGCUUGUCUAAAAAAAUGUUGUAUUAGCUUCAAGGUCCUACAAAGAAGCUAACAAAAACUCUUGAUUAAUUCCUUAGGGAUCUUUUGAUUUAAUUGAAUUCUUUUUCAAAUCUUACAAAAUCUUACAAAAAAUUUUGUUUAGUAUUGUGAUAUAUUAACAUAAUGGUAUGAUCAUUCAUAGGAUGUAGGUUUAUGAAGACUAGUUGAUAGGUUGUGUUUAGGUUUUAUAUUAUUGUUCACUUGUCUGCCAUUGAUUGUAUUGAAGGCAAUCAUUUUCUUGUUAAUAUAGCUAGAUUUGCUUUUAUUGCCCUUGAGUAAUUUGACCUUUGAAUAGAUUAAUGGUAACAUAAAGUAUGGUCAUUCAUAUCAUGUAUGUUUAUGAAGUCUUGUUGACAAGUUGUGUUUAGAUUUUAUAUCAUUGUCCGCUUGACUGCCAUUGAAUGUACUGAGGCCAAUCAUUUACUUGGUGAUUUUUUUUCAGUCUAGGUGAUUUGUGUGGUUUGAUAUUGUAUGUUCUUUUUUGGAGUAUAGCGAGUUGGGAAAUCUUUUCUUUUCAAAUUAAUUUCGUUUGCUUUGUUUCAUCCUACAAGUGUAGCUAAAACUUCAUAAUCUAGAUAUUCUUGAUGAGCCUCUACUGUGGACUGAGAGUACAGACAUAACAAGAAAUUUGGGGGUAUUCAUGACGGCACGACCAUAGUCCUAUGAAAUAAACUAAAGGAGAUAACUAGAGAUGGAAAGUUGUACCUGUGAAAUGUGUGUUUCUUAUGAAAUGUUUGUUGCAUUCGUGUAAAACAGUUGAAACAUUUUUUUUAUACAUAUUUUGAAAGUUAUGACUACAUAUGAUUUGUUAGGAAAGUUUAGGAAAAGUAAAGACAUAAGCCCUAAUUGAAGUAUUACAAAUUUUAGCUCCCCUAAAAAUACUGUUCAGAAAUUUUUUGACUUGACUCUUUCACGAAAUUUGUAGACCUUGUUAUUACGAGCAUUUAUAUAUAUAUAUAAUUUUUUUUUUUUACACCUUUCAGACGUUUAGAUUAAUUUUUACUAAUUUUUUUUUUCAAGUCAUAGGCAAAACAUUAUUCACAAGAGUUUGUAUGGUUUUAAAAAUUCAAAAGAUGAUAUAACCAUGGUAAAAGUGUAGAGGAUGUGAUCCCGAGCAUUGUAAUGUUUUUAUUUUCACAUUUUUUCGCACUCGAAAAGUAAUUAUUAUGAAUUAUUACACAUUUUUAACACCCUUAAAAACACUAUUCAUGAGGAUUUUUAUGGUUUUAAACCAAACGACUAUAAAAUCAUUGCCAAAGUGUAGAUGGUGUGAUCACAAUCGUUACCAUAUUUUUUUCACAUUUUGCACACAUAUAAUUAAUUAUUAUGAUUUUCUUCAUAUAAUUUGAUUUUCCUACAAAAUACUAACGCACGAUUAAAUAUUCAUAAUAAUUAAUUAACUAGUGUGAAAAAUGUGAAAAAAUAUGACAACGCUCAUGAUUGCAUCAUUUACGCUUUGACAAUUACUUCAUCAUCAUUUGGAUUUUUACAACCCUCCAAACCCUAACUAACAAUAUUUUUAGGGGGAGUGAUUAUUAUAAAAAUUCAUUAUAAUUAACUUAGAAAUGAGAAAAAUGUGAAAAGAUGUACCAACAUUCAAGACCACAUACUCUAUGCUUUUGCAAGGUUAGAUAGUCAUUUGUAUUUUUGCUACCCUCCAAACCCUUAUGAAUAGUGUUUUUCUUAUGACUUCAAAACAAUUAAAAAAAGAGUAAUAAUUAGUUUACUUGUGUGAACAAAAAAAAAACAAAAAAAAAACAAAAAAAACAAAAAAAAAAAACAAAAAGAAACUCUCGUAAUGACAUGGCCUAUAAUUUUCAUAAAGGAGUUAACUCCAAAGCUCAACACCAUAAUCCAUACACCUUAGUGACAAACUCUAACCAUCCGAUUGUCGUUUACGUUUACCCUUUAAUUUUUUAUCACCGGAAACCCUUUUCUGGAGUUUCUUUUUUGAAAACAUGAAAUUGUAGUGAAUUGAAAAAGAUAAACGGUUUGAAUCAUUGAUAUCACGUUUUGAUUUUUAGGUUUAUUGCAAAUAUUACUCUUUGUUUAUAAACUCUCUAGAUAUUAUAGAACAUUGACUAAUAUUUGAACAAAUCUUAAAUUUUCAAACAUGUUAUCAAUGAUUCAAAUCAUUCAUCUAUUCCACUAAAAUAUUAUGUUUUGAAAAAAGAAAGAUCGAAAAACCUGUGAUGAUAAAUCAAAGCGUAACGUAAAUGACAAUCUGAAGGUUAAGGUUUGUCCUUAAAAUUUUUGGAUUCUAGGCUCCUGUUUUGGAUUUCACUCUGUUGAUGCACAAAAUCAGUGAGGACUUUGGUAUAACAGAAAGUGUUAAGUUUGUGACCUUCGCUAGAUUGCUCCGGUCACUAGUGUGGAUAAGUAUGCAAAUGGAUAGAGAUAAGGAAGUAAACAUAAGAUAUACGUGGUUCACCCAGAUUGGCUACGUCCACAGAGUAGAUGAGUUCUCAUUAAUUGUGAAGGGUUUACACAAGUACAUAGGUUCAAGCUCUCCUUCAGUGAGUACUAGUGAAUGAUUUAGUAUACAUUAGAAAAAAAAUUGGGGAGAAUGAUCUCCUUUUAUAGAAGAGUUUCUAGCUUUGUUUUGACAUUGACAUGUGUCGUGUUGUGAUUGGUUUCUGAUAUUGACACUUGUCGUGCUGUGAUUGGCUUCUGAUGUCAACACAUGUCGCACUGUGAUUGGCCUCCUGGUUGGAGGGAAACUCUUCUGGGUCCUUGACGGUAUAACGUUGACUAUUUCUCAGUAGUUUCGGGAUUGGUCAAGUAUGGUACAAAUAGUGCUCCCUUAAGUUCCCGAGUGAGGAAAGCUCCUCGAUUGGGGACUUGCAAGAUCCAAGCCGCUGAGUAAUAACAAAACUUCUAAGUAUUGAAGUGUGGUAUCGUUUUCACUUGCCUUAUCUGUCUCAUAGGUGGAUGUGGCAUCUUCUCUUAAAGUACUUUUCCUCCAUCCAGAGGUGGUAUCCUUAACCGGUGGAGAUGCACAAGGUAAUGUAUCAAUUUCACUUAAAGCUUACUUGUAGUUUCAGGCUUGGUCAAGCGUGAUACAAACCAUGUAGUAAGAGUCGCCCAAGUCGCCGAGCUAGGAGAUCCACCAAAAAAGGUGACAGACAAUGUGAGCAAUCAGAGCUCCCAGCAAUCAGUCCCAGAUCAGAAGUUUGAUUUCGAGUUCUAGCUGAUUAUUCUCAUUCUCCCUAUCUUGCAGGCAUCAGGAAGGAUAAAGAGAAGAAAAAAGAGAAGAUAUGAUAUGAUAUGAGAUACUUUUGCUUUUGAAGAAGUAACUUUCCACAUGCUUAUUCUUGACUUAGGCUAGAAGGGUUUCUGGUUUCCUCUAGAGUAUAAGGUCAACUCAAGAAUUUGAGGGUCAAAACAUGUCCAUUAAAUCAAGAGUGCAUUCGACCUUGAUGAUAUGAGAUACUUUUGCUGUUGACAAAGUAACAGAUGAAUCGGCACGUGUUCUAUUGUGCUUGUCUCCACAUGCUUCCUUGUAUCCUUCUCACUUACCCUAUCUGUUUCUCAGGCAGAUGUGGUAUAUUUUCUGGAAGCAUAAGAUGUUGAAGAUGAGUAAUCGAGAGCAAUGCCAGGUAAGUAAUCAGGCAAGGAGUUCCAGGUAGUUAGUUCCUGACUGGAAGCUUGAUUCCAAGUGAUGACUGAUUGCUCUAUUUCUCCUUGUUUUGUAGGUAAGAACAAAGUCAAAGGAAAAGACAGGGAAAAAACAUGAUAUGGGAUACUCUUGCUUUUAACCCUGAUGAUAUGAGAUACUUUGGCUCUGGUGUGGCUUGUUUGCAGAGGUAUUUGGGGGGGGGGGAAUAAGCUUAGUAUUUCGAGAGACUCUGCUAAGAGUGCCCUCUCAGAUGUGAAGAAAAGUUGAGCAUUUUUUUAUUUGCAGGUUUGCCUAACUGUGGAGGAUGAAGGUCGACAUAUAUAGGAAUUGUCCCAAUAGCGAGUAGUAAUGUUGUUCCUUUACCUUCCUCGGUCAUAGCAAUGUAGUGGGAGUUGCAAGAUUCACGUGUUUUAACUUUGUCAGAGCACUUUGAAAAAAUGAUCUGUGGUAUCUGGAAAACUGAUGUUGCGUGUGAAGAUUGCAGAUAAGCUUUAUCCAAGGAAAUCUGGCUCUCGAAGUUCAGAGAGCGGUGCCUCUUCGAUUUUGGAACAAGCAAUCAUGUUAGGGAGCUGGCUUUUGAGAUUCAAAGAACAGUGCCUCUUCGAUUUUUGAGAAAGCAAUCCUGCUAGGAGUCUGGCUUUCAAGAUUCGGAGAGCGGUGCCUCUUUAAUUUUUGAGAAAGUAAUCAUGUUGGGAGUCUGGCUUUCGAGAUUUGGAGAGCGGUACCUCUUUGAUUUUUGAGAAAGUAAUCCUGUUGUGAGUCUGGCUCUCGAGAGUCGGAUAACGGUGCCUCUUCGAUUUUUGAGAAAGCAAUCUAGUGGGAGUUUGGCUCUCGAGAUUCGGGGAGAGGUGCCUCUUCGAUUUUUGAGCAAGUAAUCUUGUUGGAAGUGUUUUCUCGAUGUGAGUAAAGGUUGGGCAUUUUUGCCAGUUUGCCUUGCCACCGAACACGGAGGUUGACACGCACAAGGACUAUCCAGUUAUCAAGUAGUGGUGUUGUUCCUUUACCCAUGUGGGUAAUGCUAGGGUAGCUGGACCUUCAAAAUUUAUGUGUCUAAACUUUGUCAGAGAUCUUUGACAAAGUUAUCUGUGGUACCCGAUGAGCUGAUGUUGCAUGUGGGGAUUGUCGACAUAUUUUACUUAGGAAAAUCUACUUCUCAAAAUCCAGAAAGUGGUGCCUCUUCAUUUUUUGAACCAACGGCCCUGUUGCCCUUUCUUUUGUAGGGGCACCAAUUGUGUGCAAGAAGUACGUUCAGAAAGUUAUUGCUUGUAGGAAUUUUCCCCUUAUUUUUAUACUUCGGAGAUUUAUUGCACCUCAUUUUUCCUUCAUCAUUUCUGAGAAUGUCUGGCCCAUCCGACCAUCGUUUUAACUUGAACUUUAGUGAAGAGGUAGUCAUGCCUUCUCAAGACAACAUAUGGCGUCCAUCCUUCUUAUUGUUGGAAAUGUGCCCUAAAGCCAAUCAUGUGAUGAUACUUUACGGACAUUUCACAUGUUAAACUAAUCUAG